rfam:Ophiophagus hannah scaffold3575.1, whole genome shotgun sequence.
UGUGGCGUGUCAGCGAAACCGUUACCAUUACUGAGUUUAGUAAUGGUAAGGGUUCUUCUGCCCCGCCCGAU